rnacentral:rRNA from 1 species
UACGUAGGGUGCGAGCGUUAAUCGGAAUUACUGGGCGUAAAGCGUGCGCAGGCGGUUGUGCAAGACAGAUGUGAAAUCCCCGGGCUUAACCUGGGAACUGCAUUUGUGACUGCAUCGCUGGAGUGCGGCAGAGGGGGAUGGAAUUCCGCGUGUAGCAGUGAAAUGCGUAGAUAUGCGGAGGAACACCGAUGGCGAAGGCAAUCCCCUGGGCCUGCACUGACGCUCAUGCACGAAAGCGUGGGAGCAAACAGG